GACUUUUGAGGGCAGAGGCAGGCGACGUUUAGUCUCACGGGGCUGGCUCGCGGCGCGGACCGCUACCCAAAUGCCUCGUCGGGUACGACUUAUUGUGUGGUAAAAAGGCUGGAACAUCGAUAACGGACUGGAUUUUCCUAGUGGUGACGAAGACCCUUUGCUGCCAGGAAGGCGGAGGAAGAGGGGAAAAAAAAAUGCAGCAGAUCUUUCAAGAGAUGGUGGUAGGAAGUCUUGUCGGCAAUCCAUGGCAGUGGAGAGACCAAAGAUGGCUAUGAAUAAGUUUUCUAUUUUUACAGUUUUAGAUGUGGAAAGGAUUAUCAUGACUUCUAGACUACAAAGGGACUCUGAGCAGAAAAACAAUUUGAAGAAGUCGGAAGUUUUUCUAUUUGCAGAUUUUCAGAAGAGCUGUCAAGCUCAACUGUGAAAGCGGUACAUUGGCAGGGCUGGAGGAGCAGGCUAGGUCAUUUCCACAAGCUUGAAGUUGCACCUGGGACUGAAUAAGAGCUAGAUGGCCUUCACAAUUUUUAAUGCUGCUUGGGAAAGGAUGCAGUAGGGGGAAUUAAGAGGAGAAAUGGAAGAAUAAAAAACAAAAGCUUGGGGUCAUCUACUUGAUUUCUCACUCUUGGAAUUAGGAUUGUGUGCAGAGGCAAGGUGAAUGAUUUUAUAAACUAGUAUUAUAAUUUCGGUAGUGUUUGGAGCAUGAAAUAGUUGUUCAACUACAGCCCAAGACUCCUAGAUGUCCUGACAUGCUUCUCAGACUUUCAGAUCAGUUGAGUCCAGGUUCACAUGUAUGGACAUAGGAGUAGUACUUCUGAAUUUGAUGCAGUGAGGGAUAAGGACGAGAAAAGAACUAGAGAUCCAAUGUAGGAAAGCCAAGAAAGGACCUCCAUUGGAAGGAGAGAAGUAGAUGGUGAUGAGGUUGAUACAGACUGCAGUGGUUGAGGGUAUUGUUAGUGCAGGGAAAAUAAAUAAUCCGUAAGGCUGUUAUCAGAUUCCUUGUCAUAAGAGGAAGGAGGACAGUUGAGUGUUGCAAAGAUACCAGCCCAUCUGAAUUGUGACAGAUGCAUGGACAGCCACAUGAAAUGAAAUAAUGGAUCACAGGCGGAGAAAACUGGAGGAGCAAAAGAGGAAUGUGGGCAAUCCAUGGAGGGGAGGCCACACUGCAGGCACAGAGGAGAGGCUGGAUGGCAUACCUAUUUUUAAACAGGAAAAUUUAAAUAUUCAUAUUAUUUUUGGUGCCUUUGACUGUUAGACAGAUUGCAGCAUCCCAGUUAAUUUUUCACAUUCUUAUGAUCCAUACAUUCAUUACAAGAAGCAAAAAGAAUAACUGUUAUAAAAGUGACAGAUUGUUUUGUUGUUGAUACUAUAAGCUGUGAAGAAUAGUUCCAGGGAAAGAAUUAUCUGUUAUGGUAAAGAUGCAAGAGAAAAUUGUUCCAAGAAACUUGAUAGGUGGUGAGAAUCUGAAAUAAAAAUCUAAUGAAAUGUAUGCGUUAAUUCAUAUAAUAGAGCAAACCUCCUAAAAGCAUUCAGAGGAGGAGGUAUUGUUUGAAUAGAGCAUCACCUUUCCAAGUAAAUGUUCAGUGAACUUAAAAUAUUCCUCAGACAAGGAGCCUAACCUCUUUGAGGCCAAACAGCCAUUGGAGACAAUGAGAACCUUUGUUUCCAUUAUGUUAUUUCAUUUGCAAGUAUGCCAAAGAGAAUGACUAAGUUCAGUAAAUCUAGAAAAUAUAUUUCACACUGCAAGAAGGCAUGAUAUUUGAUUUCAGCAUAUAGAUUCUAAGACAAGGCAAUAGACAAUUAAGAGGAAUGUGUAAAGGCAAUGGAGAAAUUGAAAAUUAGUAGUGGAAGUACAAUAAAAAUGAUUUUAGAUAUUCAGUAGAAUCAAACUAUGAAAUACAGAAAUCUGAUUUUUUUAUGGAAAUCCAUGUACAAGUAGAAUGAAUUAUUGGAAGAGCCAAUCUAGAAUUGUCAAAUAUAGUUCAAACAAAAUUUCAUGGUCUAAUCUGUAAAUAAUAAUAUAAAGUUUAACUUUUUAAAAUGUUUUCAGUACUACAGAUUGCAAGCUUCAUUUCUUAGUAGGUCAAUAUUUGGCAAACUGUUUUUCAUGUUUAUAAAUGUGUUGACUUUUUUUUCUAUUUUAGAAUAUGAAUAUGAUAAUCAAUUUCCAGGUCUGAUUUGGUAUGCACAGGAGGCCCUCUAUUAUUUUAACAAAUACUAAAAAAAACUUAGACAUGAAAUUCUCAUAGGUGAUGAUCAUGGCAAGUUGAGCUAUUGAAGUUUUGAAUGCUGAUGUUACAUUGAUACUAAAAUGAUACGUAUUUUUAAACCCCUUGCAUAUUUUCAAUAUUUGAAGCAAAUAGGCCAUCAGUCUAUUGAGGACAUGUGUAGUCAUUUACCCUGAGUGCCAAGGCUGUGCUGUGUAAGCAUGUUUAUUUCAGGAAAGUGGGAAGAUGGUAAAACUUCAUUAACCCAAUGCUGCUAGAUGCUGCGAGGAAUGAAGCCAAGGAAAGAACAAGUUCCAGUUCUGGAAAUGCAAGAAAGAACCUCUAGUGAAAGGAGAUUGAAGCAGUUGCAAUCAGAAUUAUAAUAUCAGAAUUAGUAAAGGUGUAGUCACUACAUAGGAUUAUCUUGACUUCCAACAACUCUCAAGUGCUUUUAUUAUUGAAAGAAGGCUGGAACAUCGAUAACGGACUGGAUUUUCCUAGUGGUGACGAAGACCCUUUGCUGCCAGGAAGGCGGAGGAAGAGGAGGAAGAGGAAAAAAAAAAUGCAGCAGAUCUUUCAAGAGAUGGUGGUAGGAAGUCUUGUCGGCAACCCAUGGCAGUGGAGAGACCAAAGAUGGCUAUGAAUAAGUUUUCUAUUUUUACAGUUUUAGAUGUGGAAAGGAUUAUCAUGACUUCUAGACUACAAAGGGACUCUGAGCAGAAAAACAAUUUGAAGAAGUCGGAAGUUUUUCUAUUUGCAGAUUUUCAGAAGAGCUGUCAAGCUCAACUGUGAAAGCGGUACAUUGGCAGGGCUGGAGGAGCAGGCUAGGUCAUUUCCACAAGCUUGAAGUUGCACCUGGGACUGAAUAAGAGCUAGAUGGCCUUCACAAUUUUUAAUGCUGCUUGGAAAGGAUGCAGUAGGGGGAAUUAAGAGGA